rnacentral:rRNA from 1 species
AGAAUGAACGCUGGCGGCAUGCCUAACACAUGCAAGUCGAACGAAGCCUUCGGGCUUAGUGGCGCACGGGUGCGUAACGCGUGGGAAUCUGCCCUUGGGUUCGGAAUAACAGCUAGAAAUGGCUGCUAAUACCGGAUGAUGACGUAAGUCCAAAGAUUUAUCGCCCAAGGAUGAGCCCGCGUAGGAUUAGCUAGUUGGUGAGGUAAAGGCUCACCAAGGCGACGAUCCUUAGCUGGUCUGAGAGGAUGAUCAGCCACACUGGGACUGAGACACGGCCCAGACUCCUACGGGAGGCAGCAGUGGGGAAUAUUGGACAAUGGGCGAAAGCCUGAUCCAGCAAUGCCGCGUGAGUGAUGAAGGCCUUAGGGUUGUAAGCUCUUUACCGGGAUGAUAAUGACAGUACCGGGAGAAUAAGCUCCGGCUAACCUCCGCGCCAGCAGCCGC